rnacentral:misc_RNA from 1 species
GAUGAAGAACGUAGCGAAAUGCGAUACGUAAUGUGAAUUGCAAAUUCAGUGAAUCAUCGAGUCUUUGAACGCACAUUGCGCCCCCUGGUAUUCCGGGGGGCAUGCCUGUCCGAGCGUCAUUGCUGCCCUCAAGCACGGCUUGUGUGUUGGGCCCCGUCCUCCGAUCCCGGGGGACGGGCCCGAAAGGCAGCGGCGGCACCGCGUCCGGUCCUCGAGCGUAUGGGGCUUUGUCACCCGCUCUAUAGGCCCGGCCGGCGCUUGCCGAUCAACCCAAAUUUUUAUCCAGGUUGACCUCGGAUCAGGUAGGGAUACCCGCUGAACUUAAGCAUAUCAAUAAGCGGAGGA